CGGGUGGCGGUCGGUGGAGCUAAUAAUGCAUGUCUCAGCGAAUGGAUUAAUAGCUUGCUCUUAUGAAGUUAGCGGCGCCACGGGCGAGAAACACGUGUGUAAUCUGCCCAUCUGACUGGGAUAACUCCGGGAAACCAGGGCUUAUACCGGAUACCAUUUAGAACCGCAUGGUUCGAAAUUGAAAGGCGGCUUCGGCUGUCACUUAUGGAUGGACCCGCGUCCCCUUAUCUACUUGGUGAGGUAACGGCUCUUCAAGGAUACGAUGAUUAGCCGACCUGAGAGGGUGAUUUGCCUCUCUGAUUUUGAUACAUUGCUCAUACUCCUCCGAGAGGCAACAUCCGGGAAUCAUCCUUUUAGUUUAUUAACUUGUUUGACCACGUCGCGUUUACGAUGAAGGAUUUUGGGGUCCUCUCUCUGAUGCGGGGAAGAACGCGUGCUAGGUGAACCUGCUGGCACCUAGACGGCACCUAACCAGAGAGACCACGUUGACUACACUACUGGCAAGCAUUCCCGCGGGUAAUACGUAACUAGGUGACCAAGAGUGAUCUCUGGAAUUAAUGGGGGUACAAAAACGCUUGUUCCCAGGUGGUUUCUUAAGUCUGAUGUGAAAGCCCCACGGCUCAACCGUGGAGGGUCAUUGGAAACUGGGAGACUUGAGUGCAAAAGAGGAAAGUGGAAUUCCAUGUGUAGCGGUGAAAUGCGUAGAGAUAUGGAGGAACACCAAUGGCGAAGGCGACUUUCUGGUCUGCAACUGACACUGAGGCGCGAAAGCGUGGGGAGCAAUACAAGAUUAGAUACCCUGGUAGUCCACGCCGUAAACGACGAGAGCUAAGUGGUAGAGGGUUUCCGCCCCUUUAGUGCUGAAGUUAACGCAUUAAGCACUUCCGCCUGGGGAGUACAGCAGCAAGGCUGAAACUCAAAGGAAUUGAAGGGGGCCCGCACAAGCGGUGGACGAAGGUGGCUUAACCCCACCAGCAACGCUGAAGAACCAUACCACGUCUUGACAUCCUCCGAAAUUACCCUAGAGAUAGGGCUUCUCCUUCGGGAGACAGAGCUCAUCAGGUACCUGCAUGGCUGUCGUCAGCUCGUGUCAUGACAUAGUAUAAUCGGUUAAGUCCCGCAACGAGCGCAACCCUUGAUCUUAGUUGCCAUCAUUAAGUUGGGCACUCUAAGGUGACUGCCGGUGACAAACCGGAGGAAGGUGGGGAUGACGUCAAAUCAUCAUGCCCCUUAUGACCUGGGCUACACACGUGCUACAAUGGACGGUACAAAGAGCUGCAAGACCGCGAGGUGGAGCUAAUCUCAUAAAACCGUUCUCAGUUCGGAUUGUAGGCUGCAACUCGCCUACAUGAAGCUGGAAUCGCUAGUAAUCGCGGAUCAGCAUGCCGCGGUGAAUACGUUCCCGGGCCUUGUACACACCGCCCGUCACACCACGAGAGUUUGUAACACCCGAAGUCGGUGGGGUAACCUUUUUGGAGCCAGCCGCCUAAGGUGGACAGAUGGGGGG
rnacentral:rRNA from 1 species